CUGCAAGCUUGUAGAGAGGGAGGUAGCCUCAAACCUCCCUCUGACUCUGCUCUCUGAUCGGAAGGAGGUUAGUCCUGCAGCAUGGGAGCAUGGACCUGACACAAAGUAAAGAAUAAAAGUAUAAGCCAUGCAAUUGUCGAGGACCUUCUUACAUCCAGUCAAUCCAAUUUCUUCUGUCAUGAGGCUAAACUGAGUGUGUUUCAGAAGCAGAGGAAGAAAAUCAAAGUGAAGUCACUUGUUGAAAGAGAGACUCAGGUGAAAGAGGGCUAAUGCAGCAGCCGGCUGGGUUCCCCCUGGCAGGACGACAAGGAGCUGCUUCUGGCUCUUUUCCUGCUGUUCUACAAUUAAAAUUCUAGGAGGAAUAUAAUAUUGAAGAAAUAAAUCUUACAGUCGUUAAUCAGACAAGAUUCAAAGAAAUAAAUCACAAAGGAAACAGCGAAACAUCGGCUUCAAGCGGAUGCAUAAAGGAAAUGAACAUGGGCUAAGGAUGUUGCUAUUUCCACCAGCUGGACAGAGAAGCUGGAGAACUGGAGACAAAAGAAAUGUGUGAGCUGAGGAAGAAAUGGGCAUGGACAUACUAGCAUUUACAAGGCUGCUCAGGCAAAGGCCUGGGAGUAGGAUUACAGCUUUAAAACAAAAUCUAAAGGACUUUCAUUUCUGCAGCUUGGUGAAAAUUUUGCAGGGAAACAUUUUCUGAGCAGCGAAUGUCAAUUCACAUACAGAAACACUUUGCUGGAUUUUGCCAGUUUCUGUGAAGUUUUGUUCAGAAAAAAAUAGUUCUUGUCGGGUUUCACCAAAGAAGAAACUGCAGACGGAGCUGGGCUGCCGUGAAUUGAGAAAGAUGGGCGUGAAAGGGGAAAAAAAGUACAAAAUCAGAUAACUCGAGGAGGAAAAAAAGAAAAAUUUAUCUCUUGGAAAGUGAUGAAGAGGGGAGCAAUGCUAAAGCCCUGCAAGAAAGGAGCAAGCCGGUCCUGUGGGGAGCAGAGGCAUGCGGAUGCAUACGGCAGCAACCGCGCUCCGCUCCGCGCGAACCCAGUUGCCCAACAUGAAAUGCUGAAGACCCAGAGGGGCAGGGCGGGAGGAGCGGAGCGGACUCAGGUUCACACAGAGGUGUCUUUUCAUGUGAAAGCAGUAAGUUUCCAUGAAUGUAAGGUAGAUGCCAUACAGCAACUGUUGGAUUUCCAGAAAAAUCACAGCCGAGCUGGCAGUACUGCCAGCCACAGAGAAGACAACGAACAACGCCAGUGUUCAUGAAUUUUGACAGUACAUAGGGGUUUAGGAAAAUGUUCCUUGUUCAUGGAGACUCCCAUGGCUAAAUGUGAUGUGAUGGGAUGUUAUGUAAUGAUUUAGAUAUGGUUCUUUAGAAAAUACUAAACACAUUGCAGCUGUUGCUCUCUUACUCUCCAAACUGUUAUUACAAACCUGACAAUAUAUUAUGCAUUACUUUACCAAUUUACCUGCAACAGACAUUAAAGCCGUCAUUCCCGCUCACAUUCCUCCACACUGUGUCCUUGAUGGCUCACACAGGGCUAAAAGAGCAGCUCUCUGCUAUUUGUAUAGACAAGCAAGCAAACUGUGCUAUUUGCCCGAACUCUCAAAUUUUCAUUCUUCCUACCUGUGCAUUCACAAAAGGAAAAAAGCAUAAUAAACUAGAGAGAGAGCUUGCUGGGUUUUCCUCAGAUCAUGGGAGAUCUUUCUUCUAAUGACAUUUGACAUGACUUCUAAUGACAUAAUGACAUGACUUCAGACAGUUUUGUUUUAUGUAAUUCGAGUAAUAUAAUUGUACCCAUUUCCUCAUGAACAUGUCCUUAAUAACAUUAUUUUGGCACAUUUGUAGCUGAGACUUUCAGGAUCAAAAAGAAUUUAGGCAGAAUUAUGUUAAAUAAAACGUGGAACACUGAAAUACGGCACAACCCAGUGAAAAAGCAAACAAAUAUGGGGCGAAUGAUGCUGUGAGCCAGACGUGGAAGUGUUUCUUUGCACCGAAGCCAAAAUUGGUACAAGAUGCUCUUCAGUAUUGCUGAAGAUCAGUGCCUCAGGCUCUGUUGGGCCUUCAAGAAAAGACAAGUCAGCCUAAUUUAGGUGGGGUUUUAUUAAUCAGUCUGUUUUCCCACCAGCCACCUCAAGGAGAAACAAAUUUGUGUCUUAGCCUUUCCAUUCUUAUAACAAAUGCGGGAGCAUCUUGCAAAAUAGAGACACUCCCAAUUACAAUGAAAAUGUAACCGAAUGUUAGUUAAGAAAAAAUAUAGUUCUGGUAGGGCUUUUUUACCAUGGAUUAUAAUUAUUAUUUUAAAAUAUUCAGUUAUGCUCUAACCGUAGUUACAAAAGCUCGUAAACUUUCUUUUUUACCAUUUUUUGGUGGUUUGCCAGCAAGGUAGAAACCUGUCGCUACGAGCCUGCGAAUGUUUCUGUGUGUUUAUAAUGGCCUUGAUUAAUGCGCUGGUAUGCUAUAACCCGGGGGAGAUUCUAGACCUAGUCAUAAACAGCAUAUUUAUAGGGAAGGUAUUUGAAAUCCUGAUUUUAUUUUUUAAAAAAGAACACAAGCUUAUUUGAAGUCUAUGUUGCUUUCUGUAAUAGAUACAGUAUAAUCCGAUACUUACAGGCUUCUAAUAUACUACAAGAUAUUUUGGAAGUCAUUUGGUGUUUUGAGUCCACUUCAUAAAGGAUUUGCAUAUCUUUUAAGUAUCUGAGUUUCUUCUGGCCUGCACACAAAAGAAUCUCUGGAGGCACAGAUCUCAGAAAGUGUAUAAUGAAAAAAUGGAAAGCAGUUUGCAUACUAAUACAAUCCCAUUCUUACAUUUUGUCUUAUGAAAAGGCAACUAUUUAUUGCAACCAGUUUUGGCACAUGUUGGUGACUGUAGCGAAUAGAUGCAUUGUGAGAGCUGCACAAAAGAAAGCUUAUCAAAUCCUGUUUUUUCUGAAUUACUUGAGAUACGCAAAACCUCAAAAGCUUUCAGAAAACUGCAAAGAACCACAGUUUACCUAAGUGGAAAUUCCUCUUCCAUUUUUUCUGUUGCUUCUGUUCUGUAAUUGCAUGUUUAAUGCUGUAAUAUGCAUUUAAGAGUACAGAAGAAAAAUGAUAGGACAACCUAUUACUUGUGAAAAAUACUGCCUGGGGAAAACAAGCAAUAACCUGGAAAGUGAUGUUCUGAACACAUGAGUGUCUUUAAUGCUAACGUGUAUGUAUUUUGCUCACUGCCUUAUUCGCUAAGUGCACUCAGUCUGAAGCACUUGGUGUCAAUAGGAAGUUCCUAAGUAAACACAAUGUAGACUAAAUUAAGGGCAACAUCUCUCCAUAUUCUUUGCACGUGGCUGAGGUAGAGAGAUUAAAAGAUCAGUCAAAACGCUGCCUUAAAAUAAUAUUUCUGGGAAACAUUUUUCACUAAGUCAGGAGCACCACUGGAAAUUUACAGUCCCUAAAUUUCCAUAUAAAUGAAACCAAAAUAUCACCUGCCAUGUUCUCAAGAAUCUGUUGCUAGUCAUGAAGAAAUAUGUAUUUUUAGAAAAUGUUUAAUAAAGUAAAAGCACCAUGAACCUUCCUAAAAUGUCUUUAGAGAACAACUGUACAAAAGAUGGAAAAAAAAUGCUUUUGAAAAUUAAAAGCAAAAUUAAUAAAAAGCACUGAACAUGGGGUGAAAGGGAUCACUAGAGCUCAAAAGUGCCAUUGUCUUAAGAGCAGAAAUGCUACACCCAGACUAUUAAGAACAGUUUAACCUGGCCUCUCUGGUCAUGGGGAGUCCAGAGGACUUUUACUGCUUAACUAUCCUUAGCAUUGGAAAAUUCUUUCUAAUGCCUAACCGAACUCUCACUUGCUCCAAAUUAAUCCCAUUAUUUCUUACACCAUUCUAAGUGGACAUGGAGAAUAAUUUAUUAUCCUCUCUUUGCAAUAACUCUAGAAUGGCUCUAAUUACACUACGUAUGCUUACUGAUGGUUAUAAUUUCAACUAAAUCAGGUAAUUGGAAGGUUAACUACUGACUGAAAAUUAUCACAGCUUAAAUAAAAUUCAGUUAAUGAGUCCCACUCCUAAAAAAUUAUACUUAUAAAAUAUGAAGCCACAAUGAGAAAUUCUGUAGAUUAAUUAAUUAUCAAGGAGAACCACAGUGAAUUUGCUUUGUAAUUGUGGUAUUAUUCACAUGUAUUUACAGCUGAGUGAUUCAAAAUUAUAGGGAUAUAAGGCAACAACUAAUUCAAAAUAAAAUAAAUGUGGUUAUGAAAAAAGGCUGUAAUAACAAUUCCUGAACUUAUAACUAUUGCAUGAAAAUGGAAGCAGUGAUUAGUUAGCAUAUGUAGAUGGCUAUUAUGAUUUGAGUAAGAAAGCUACUUAAGCACAUUGAUUAAAAUGAGGCUGGUGCUUAAUUACUUCCCUGGGCUGUGCAUAUCUGGAAAAAUGACUUUCCCACAUUUCUGAACACGAGGCAGUAAUAGAUUCAUAAAGCCUGAAUAUUUAGGGUCUUUGGGGACAAUAAAAUAAUACAAUACCUGCCUCUAAAUCCCAGCUUGCAUCAGGCUCCCUUCCCCGGCUCCCAGAUGCGAGCGCAGCCCCGAGACAGCAGCGGUGGCACGUCCCCGUCAGGGCUGGGGCACACCAAAAACAGCUCCAGGGAAAGUAGCUGUUCAUAUCUAAUCUGGAAAGUGCUGCGCCUAACACCAAGCUAAUCAGGUUACAAAGUCCAAACUACUCAACAGACAUUUUGUCUUGUGAAAAAGCCAUUCAUUUGUUAUUCUCCCAUUAGCGUAUCGGGAAAAGAAGUAGAAUUGAUUUUUUGCAAUUACUUUAGUUUUUUUUUUUUCAGAAUAGGUUAAACUAAUACACAUGGUGUCAAAGCCUGGUGCUCCACCUGGGCAUCUGAAAUGGAAGGGGACAAUGGAGAUAAAAUUUGUUUGAAUUUGCACUAGCUGAGAGGAAGAAGUGGCAUUGGCUAUUUGGCCUGGAAAAGGAGAAAGCUGAAAUGAGGAAUUAAAGCAUCUGGGCUCAGUUCUAAUAAAGAUCUAGGCUCUGCCUCCCACAGACUUACACUGUAUAUUUUGUGCAGUUCUGUCAAAAUCAAUGACACAUCACAGAAAAAUUCUUCAAGUUGCUACUCACAUGAUGAAGGUCUGUAUCUGGCCUUUAGCAGUAUUAUCUAUAAAUGCAUUAGCUUUGCUUAUUUCUAUUGUUAUAUAGCAUUAGGCAAAUGGAAGGAAUAAGUAUCCAGUACGAGAUAUUAUUGUAGAGUAGUAAGAGUUAUUUGCAUAAGUAUACAGCUAUACAUAUAUAUAGACAUACAUAUACAUACAUACACAUACACAU